rnacentral:lncRNA from 1 species
CUUUUGCUCAGUGAAGAUUUAUUGUUAUAGAAGGCAACUAAUACAAUAGAUUUGUGGGCUCGAAAUUUUAAAAAGUUCUAAAAAGGCAGUUAAAGCUUGACAAUAAACUUGAGUAAGGUUUACACAAUAUCAAAGUAUAUUAGUUCUUUGAAAUGAAAAGGUAUUUUUUUUCUUCCUUUAACAUUGAGAUGUCUGAGAUGUCAGGAUUUUGUAGCAUUCUUAGAAACAACAUCCACUGUGUGGGAUACUUUUUUUCCUUCUGGAGUUUUAAACCAGUCUGACUCUUUGGUUGUGCCUAUACAAUGAAAAGUCUACAAAUGAAAUGAGAGAAGUCAGGAUAUUUUCCUUUGUUAAACUAAGUAGCUGAAUAAUUAGAACUACCUAGAUAAAAGACUCAAAAUGUUUUUGUUAUCUGGUUGCCUGGUUAGGACAUAGCCAACAUUUCAAUGGAAUGUAGUAUCUUGUACAACUGCAUAUAAUUUUUUAAAAAAUAAACAAUGACUUUGUUUCUUUAGAUACAUCAAAUGCUGCUUGAGUGGCCAAAGGGAAAAUGCCAACUCUUUGAAAUGUAGUAUCUGUAGCACUUUUCUUCUUUCAGUAGUUUUUCAUGUGACAUGCUUCCUACUGAAAUUAAACUGCCAAAUAAAAAGGAAGGAUUGUGCCCUUUUUAAUAACAAAGAAUGCAGUCGUUAGAAUUCUUCAGAUUUGGAAUUCCAGCAGCACUCUAGUGUUUUCUUCUUGAUGUGUGACAAGAAUGAAUAAUAUCAAAAAUAAAAAUAAACCUCAUCUAAACAAGCAGUUCUUUGACUUUAUAACGUUCAACAUCAAAUUCUCAAAAUACUCAAGACCAGUAAAUUAUCAGAGCUGAGGAAAUAACAUGCUGAGGACAGAAUCAAUUUUUAAACAUUUUGAUUGAUUUUAACCUGCUAGCAUUAGUUUUGUUCAUUUCUGUUUAGACAUUGCCACUUCAACUGACUACUAGGGACCAUGGUAUUUCAUAUUCAUAUAAAUAUCUGAAUUUGACCUCAUAAGAAGUCCCUUGGGUCUAUAAUACUUUUAUUCUUGUAUAAUCUGAAACAAAUCCUUUCCUUUUAAAAAUCAAACAGACCACGUUAUACACACAGUUGACUAUUUACAAAGCACCCAAUUAAAUCCUACUUAAUUCUUUCACUCUAAAAAUUCCAUCUAACUUGUGUGUAAAGUACCCAUAACAUUAAAUGCAUAAUGUUCACAAACCCUGAUAGUCCUAUCUAACCUAGAAAAUAUUACCUUCCUUAAGGAGAAAAAAGAGCCUUAAAAGAAAAAUAAGAGUAAGGUUUUAAAGAAAUGAGACCAGAAAUCACAGUACAAGACAGAGAAAUCUACUUUAAUAUUCACAUGUAAAAGUUACACAUCACAAGAGAUUGGACAGUAGCUUAG